UACAGAGGGGGCAAGCGUUGUUCGGAAUUACUGGGCGUAAAGGGCGCGUAGGCGGCCUGUUAAGUCGAACGUGAAAUCCCUGGGCUCAACCCAGGAACUGCGUCCGAUACUGGCAGGCUUGAAUUCGGGAGAGGGAUGUGGAAUUCCAGGUGUAGCGGUGAAAUUCGUAGAUAUUCGCAAGAACACCAGUGGCGAAGGCGGCUCACUGGCCCAUAACUGACGCUGAGGCACGAAAGCGUGGGGAGCAAACAGG
rnacentral:rRNA from 1 species